UGGGGGAUAUUGCACAAUGGGCGAAAGCCUGAUGCAGCGACGCCGCGUGGGGGAUGAAGGCCUUCGGGUUGUAAACUUCUUUUGCUCUGAACAAGGCAUGCUUUUGGGGUGUGUUGAGUGUAGGGGUUGAUUAGCGCCGGCUAACUACGUGCCAGCAGCCGCGGUAAUACGUAGGGCGCGAGCGUUGUCCGGAAUUAUUGGGCGUAAAGGGCUUGUAGGUGGCUGGUUGCGUCUGUCGUGAAAGCUCAUGGCUUAACUGUGGGUUUGCGGUGGGGACGGGCUGGCUUGGGUGGAGUAGGGGAGGGUGGAAUUACUGGUGUAGCGGUGGAAUGCGCAGAUAUCAGGAGGAAUACCGGUGGCGAAGGCGGGUCUCUGGGCUGUUACUGACGCUGAGGAGCGAAAGCGUGGGGAGCGAACAGG
rnacentral:rRNA from 1 species